rnacentral:rRNA from 1 species
GCGAUCACACCAACACUAAUGCCCUGGAUCCCAUCAGAACUCCGAAGUUAAGCUUGCUUGGGCGAGGGCAGUAAUAGGAUGGGUGACCCCCUUGGAAGUCCUCGUGUUGCACCU